GACGUAGGGCGCGAGCGUUGUCCGGAUUUAUUGGGCGUAAAGAGCUCGUAGGUGGCUUGUUGCGUCUGCCGUGAAAGCCCGUGGCUUAACUACGGGUCUGCGGUGGAUACGGGCAGGCUAGAGGCUGGUAGGGGCAAGCGGAAUUCCUGGUGUAGCGGUGAAAUGCGCAGAUAUCAGGAGGAACACCGGUGGCGAAGGCGGGACUCUGGGCCGAUACUGACGCUGAGGAGCGAAAGCGUGGGGAGCGAACAGG
rnacentral:rRNA from 1 species